rnacentral:rRNA from 1 species
CUACGGGCGGCAGCAGUGAGGAAUAUCGCACAAUGGGGGGAACCCUGAUGCAGCAACGCCGCGUGGAGGAUGACGCAUUUCGGUGUGUAAACUCCUUUUAUAUGUCAAGAAAAUGACGGUAGCAUAUGAAUAAGCACCGGCUAACUCCGUGCCAGCAGCCGCGGUAAUACGGAGGGUGCAAGCGUUACGCGGAAUCACUGGGCGUAAAGGACGCGUAGGCGGGUUGGAAAGUCAGGUGUGAAAUCCUACAGCUUAACUGUAGAACUGCACUUGAAACUGCUAAUCUAGAGUAUGGGAGGGGGAGAUGGAAUUAGUGGUGUAGGGGUAAAAUCCGUAGAUAUCACUAGGAAUACCUAAAGCGAAGGCGAUCUCCUGGAACAUUACUGACGCUAAGGCGUGAAAGCGUGGGGAGCAAACAGGAUUAGAUACCCGCGUAGUC